rnacentral:rRNA from 1 species
UACGGAGGGUGCAAACGUUGCUCGGAAUCAUUGGGCGUAAAGCGCACGUAGGCGGCCCUGUAAGUCCGUUGUGAAAGUCAAAGGCUCAACCUUUGAAAGCCGAUGGAUACUGCAGGGCUAGAGUCCGGAAGAGGCGAGUGGAAUUCCUGGUGUAGCGGUGGAAUGCGCAGAUAUCAGGAGGAACACCAAUAGCGAAGGCAGCUCGCUGGGACGGUACUGACGCUAAGGCGCGAAAGCGUGGGGAGCGAACAGG